rnacentral:rRNA from 1 species
UACGGGGGGGGGCAAGCGUUGUUCGGAAUUACUGGGCGUAAAGGGCUCGUAGGCGGCCAACUAAGUCAGACGUGAAAUCCCUCGGCUUAACCGGGGAAUGGCGUCUGAUACUGGAUGGCUUGAAUCCGGGAGAGGGAUGCGGAAUUCCAGGUGUAGCGGUGAAAUGCGUAGAUAUCUGGAGGAACACCGGUGGCGAAGGCGGCAUCCUGGACCGGCAUUGACGCUGAGGAGCGAAAGCCAGGGGAGCAAACGGG